UCUCUCUCUCUCUCUCUGUGCCUCUCUCUCUCUCUCUCUCUCUCUCUCUCUCUCUCUCUGGAUUUUUGAUCCAAAGAGUAUUGAUUCAGUUUUACCUAAAUGGAGGGACAGCUUGUUUUCAGACGGCCAUCCCAGCUAACACACGACCAUACGGCAACGUUGCCUAUACGUUGCCAUUUGGUCAUGGCAACAUUACCUCCUGGCAACGUUGUGGCAACAUCGCCAUGACGUUGCCUACAGGAAGUUGCCAUAAAGUAAACAAAUAACAUUGCCGCGACGUAGUGGCUUGGUAAUUUUGCUAACGUUGCCACUUGGUAGCGUGAGUGACGUUGCCACAACGUAGUGGUGUGGUCAUUUGCUAACGUUGCCACUUGGUACUGUUAAUAACGUUGCCGCGACGUAGUGGUGUGGUCAUUUGCUAACGUUGCCACUUGGUAGCGUGAGUGACGUUGCCGCGACGUAGUGGUGUGGUCAUUUGCUAACGUUGCCCAUUUGUAGCGUGAGUGACGUUGCCACAACAUAGUGGUGUGGUCAUUUGUUAACGUUGCCGCUUGGUACUGUUAAUAACGUUGCCGUGACGUAGUGGUGUGGUCAUUUGCUAACGUUGCCACUUGGUAAUGCAAGUAAUGUCACGGCUACGUAGUGGUGUGGUCAUUUACUUACCGUGAUAUCAAACUUCAGAAUUACACUGGCUGUUUGUGUCCAACACAAAUAUUAGGUUAAAUCAGAAAAUGUCACCACUUUUAUUGUCUAUUUACUACUUAGUGAUGACUCAAUUCCCACAACAAAUAUUUGUGCUCAACUAUGUUGACCAUCCAGAACUACAUAACAAUUCUCAUUUCCACAAACUCUGACCCUGUUGAAAAAUAGAAAUGAAAUAUAUUCAGAUACUGAAUUGAUGAAUCAUUUAUUUCAAAUGCAUAUACAGGGACCAAAUCACGACAAUUCUUUCUAUUAACAAAACAUUUGAAGUACAAUUCAUGCGUUUCACGGAUUCAAGUGAACAAACCACAUUGAAGGUUUACAUUGGUCAACCAGGACUGAGCAUAAAGGCCGUGGAGAGGCUGAGGUGGAGAGUAUAGCUAAAGCAGUGACUGCUAAUCAGAAUCCAAUCCAAACUAAUAUUAAUGCUGUCUAGUGCAAUUUUAAGUUACAAGAAAAUAACAGCAGUGCCUGACCCACAGGAUAAGACUGAACUGACAAUCAACCUGAGUUUAAUCUUAGUAUUCGGUAACCAAGGCUGAAAUAAGGUCAUCAAUGCAAUUUGAAAUUGUGCGAGUGAGAGUGGGGUUGGGCAAUGAUAUAAUCACGGGUGUUUUGUUGAGGCUGCAAACUCAAGGUUCUGAUGUCGAGUGGCCCAGAUAGCCACCCCACGAUCACGAGUGCUGUGUUGCUUUGAUACAUUAAUUAAACCUCAGACUAAUAAACCUUAAAACACCAAAUCUGGUGUUUUUAUCCUAUUAUUAUACGAAUUGCACCCCAGUUUUCGAUCAAGCUGAAGUUGUCCUUAAGCUGCAGAGAGGCUGGCUCAACUGUCGCUGCCGAGUCAGGGUUGUGAAGAUGUCCUGUUGAUUCCGGAUGUCUCUUAAAUGGUGGAUCCCAGCGUCUUCAGUUCGGUCCCUGGAAAAAGAAAAAAGAUCAUUCCCUCCAGUCCCCGUUGACCUCAUUCUUGUCAGAAUGUAUAGCAUCGUCGAAUUUUUGGGGGAAAGGACUGUUGGCAUAGUGGCCAGUAAUUGGAUUAUAAAAGAGGGAGAUAAGACAUGCAGCUACUGGCCACUCCACAAGCCCACACAGAGGGCAAAGGACAAAGAUUUGCCCGAUCCUAAAACCUGGCUAAAAAGGCCAAUAAAAAUAUUUUCCUCAACAGAUGAUUGGGAUCAGGCCGUCAGGAGGAACAAGAGGGCGGAGACAAAGUCCUGUGUGGAGACAGGAAAUGAGGACACAGGGAGGCGCAUCAUAGUCAAACCCCAAAAAUUUAUUCACACCGGUGAAAAGAAAACAAAGAAACGAAAUGGGAAAAAGGCAGGACAAGGUCCCUAUUUCAGGACUUCCCUUCCUCCUCCACCCCAGAUAGAAUCCCCCAUUCCACGGCGUAGCGCACUACAAAUAUCUUCACCCCCUGUGACUGAUGACGAUUACUCCCCUCCUUCACCGGCAAGAGACGUUUUUACAGAAAAUGAUGGUAAAGUUAUGUAUGGUAAUGAUGACGAAUGAUGAUGACAUAACAGUAAUUCUAUGAGCCAAGACAACAAAGAGUUUGAAACCAAAAAAAAAACAUUGAAUUAUUAUUUUGUACUUCCUGCAGAUGAUUCGAUUGCGUCUUCAUUUGAAACGCCAUUGCCUAUCUCUACUGGGGACGGUGACCGAAGAGAGAGAGAAACCAUACCAAUCUGGGCAAAGAAUAUCAACGCGACAUUGGAGGUUCUGCUCCGAAGGCUUGAGACUGUUGAGCAGAAUCAGAGAGAGGCUCUAUUAUUGCUACGGGCAAAUCGACAUGGGGACCCUGGGGAAGCUAGUGUCGAGUUACUGCAGGCGCAAACUCAGGCCGAACUACAGGAACUCGAGGAGCACCUUAAAAAUAGAGAUUUCACAAAAAAAAUGAUUUCCCAUCUGAGCCUAGUUGGGGGGUCCAAUCCUGGGGAGUGUGUGAGGAGGGUGUUGCGCUCUGUGGCCUCAAACUUUGUUUGGAGCAGCUACAGCCUUAGGGGAAAGAAGGGGAAGAUGCCACUGCUUGGCACAGCAGUGGGCAGUACCAUCAAACAGGCGAUCAUGAAAUGGAAGCCGGGGCUGGAAGAGAAGGAGGUGGAGCUUCUGAUGGCAGAGGUCUUGAAACAUGCCCCCUCAGCCCACUCCAAAAGUUUGAAGGGUCGGAUGGAACGGCAGGCGGAAGAACAUCCCCAAAAUUGAAUUCAAAAUUAUUUGAAAUAAAAAUAUAAUAAAUUGAUAUUUGUUAGUGUACUGUCUUGUCUUUUGAAUAGGCUUGGGGUCCACAUUAGCAACAGCCACCAGCCAAAAUGUAGGUAAAAUAUUUAUGUGGCUUGUAGAUUUCAGACUAGAUUUUGUGGGUUCUAUAAAGGGCAAAUGAGGACUGCACCAUGCAGAUCCGCCCUAACGUCCUUGCAACGUUAUGGCAACCUUUUUGAAGAAGGUUGCAUAAAUGUCGCCAGUAUGUAUUUUGGUUGCCACGACGUCGCCAGGACGUGGCAGUUACGGACGAGCAACGUCGCCAAGAACGUCCUUGCAACGUUAUGGCAACGUUAUGGCAACCUUUUUGAAGAAGGUUGCAUAAAUGUCGCCAGUAUGUAUUUUGGUUGCCACGACGUCGCCAGGACGUGGCAGUUACGGACGAGCAACGUCGCCAAGAUACAUUGCGGCAACGUGAUCGCGUCUUUCACCCGCACGUCGCGGCAACGUUGAAACUUACGUUGCGGCAACCUAUGUUUGGUCAUAAAGUUACGUAACCGCGACGUCGCGGCGACGUAACUGCGUUAGCUGGGAUGUAGCCUUCUGAACUUCUGAAGCUCUGAACUUGGUAAACUCUCCACCACAGUUUUAUCAUGAUGAGAGACUAAGAGGGCUGAAUCGUCUGCAUAAAGAUAGAGGUUGCAGGUACAAGCUGACUCCAUGUCGUUGAUAUAAAGCCCUAGGAUGCUUCCUUGGUGGCACCACAUGACCGUAUUAGAUGACAGUUGAGAUUAGAUGAUGACACAAGGCGAUUCUAUCUAUGCCUCUUCUUGAAUUGCUUCAUGUUUUAGUCUGCAGAGGCUUGUAAUGGUGCGCAGCAUGAUAAGCAUGUCUGUUGAGAGUGAUGUUCUUGAGAAAAUAGAUCCUAAACGAGAUAUAUAUAUAUAUAGAUUGAUAGAUGGGCCUCCCUGAAAGUGAGGCGACAUUGUUCAGUGCUCCCGAAAUAGUGGUCUGUUUCUCAGAGAAUUAGUCUAGUACACGUUGUACUUGUACUAGUUUUAUAAAAGGUAUGUUGAUACAAUAUUCCGAUAUCAAUAAGACAAUAUUUGUUUUGAAGUUCACUUUUUAGUUGUCUUCACAAUUUUUUGUAUCCAUUUUCUAUAUUUACCAUCUAUUGUUGACUUUGAAGACCAAUGUGUUUCAGUAACUGUGUCAUUAAAAAACGGGGGAAAUAUGUUCAUUUUUGAGUGAAAAUUAGCCAAAGGAAAUUUAAUAUACCCCAAAUUGUUCAGAACUGCAUCAUUUAGCCCACACUGCCAUCUAUUGGCUUAGACAUGCAACAGCACAUUAACUAAAAAAAUAAAGGUCAUCGAAUCUUGGACAGGACAAAAAAAAAAUCAUGGAUAAUAUAACAAUACAUAAUGCUACAUUUAUAACAGUGUUGUCUAUAACUCAGAUAAAAAGGUUAAGUUAUAAACAAUUUAUUUCUUUAAGAGCUAGAGUCUAGCCACAAUGUGUUUAAUCCUUUCCUCAGGGAUGAAAUACUCAUUGGUAUUGUGAGUUUAACUGAGGUUAAACUGUGACAAAACCUCCGUGCUUUUCUGACAAUACACCAGCGGACUAUUAAAAAAUAUACAAUGUGUUGGAUUGAUAGAUAAAUAGAUCGAUUUACCCCCCACCAGAAUAAAUGGUGCAGUAAAGGACAAUAUAUACAGAUAACAACGAGGAAUGGAUAUUACUAAAAUAAAUGUUAUACUUUUGAAAUAUAAUCAUUAAAUUUGUGUUAUUAUAAUCAGUGUGACUUUAUUGAAAAGUAGGCUAGGAGGAGGCUAGGAGGACGAUCAGUGUGUGUGUGUGUGUUAAAUGUCCGCGUGGGGGUGGUUCCAUGGGUGGUUCUGCCUCCGUCCCGUCACGUCCUAUGGCUGGAAGCCUCGGCUUAAUAAAAAACAACAGUGUUACCCCUUAUGUUUUUGUUCAUGACGACAAAAAACAACAGUGUUACCCCUUAUGUUUUAUUCAUGACGACCAAUAAAAAAUAAGUGUUACCCCUUAUGUUUUUUUUCAUGACGACCAAUAAAAACGACAGUUGAAUAUGUUUUAUUCAUGACGACCAAUAAAAAACAACAGUGUUACCCCUUAUGUUUUUUUCAUGACGACCAAUAAAAAA